GGUCAGUGAUGAGGAGUAAAAGGUCUGAUCACCCACAAUCCUCUCUUGCUGCCUCUGGCUCCCAGCAGCCUGCUCUCUUCUCCCAUCAUGCACCAGUAAUGCAAUGAUGGUCCCAGCAGUUGCUGACAUCACACAGGAUGUGACAUCACAGGAAGUCUGCACUGAGACCCUGCAGACUUCCUGUGAUGAAGAUCUAACAACCAAUCAGAACGGAGGAUCAGGAGGAGGAGGUGGGGGGGCUGAUCUCAAGUUUUCAACCUGAGACC